rnacentral:lncRNA from 1 species
GCCAAGUGGGGCCCAUCACCGAGAAAACCACCCCUCUCUUCCCACUAUCAUGUGGGACCCACAACAUACAAAAUAUCUGUAAAUUCUGCAUAACUUUUCGAUGCAAUAAUUAACACACCACAAACUAAUUAAAUAUACUAGCUAAUUACAUUGGGGCAAGUGUUAAAAGAAUACAAUGGGUCAACAAUUAGAUGUUGCCUCUAUAGUACAAGGAUGAGCUUGUCGGAGCCAAAGGAUUUGUAGCCGGAGCUGACCAAAUCCUCCUUGUCGGAGGAGAGAAGGAGAAUGAGCUUGUUGGCGCUAUUGGUGACGAUUCCAUGGCAGAUCUCGCCGGAUUCGCGGGAAAAUGGAGAUGGGGCAGCGAGGCAUGCAGGUCCCGCGGCGGAACAGAGUUAGAUCUGGGGCUCUUGGCGCCAUGGCCAUGGUGUUCUCCUGCGGGGACAUAGAGAGGGAUGUGAGGCAAGGGGAAAAGAAGAGAGAGCGAGAGAGAAAGGGGAGAGAAGGAAUACAGGGCAUCGGCGGGAUGACCUGCGGGUCUCACCAACAACGAGUUUCACGGCAAGAUGAGAUCCACAGGCGCGAGGUUGGUUUCAUGGCGUUGGGCAGCCAUGGAUCGAUCUGUAGACACGUGAACGAAGAGAGGGAAAGGGAUUAGAGAGGAGAAGUAAAAGGGAAGGAGGAGAAAAGCAACUGUGAAGAGAAGAGGGUGGUCCGAUGCUGCUCCGGUGAAGUCAAACGAUGGCGGCAGUGGAGUCUUCCGAUCCAGAUCGGGUCGAGGCCGGGGCUGGUGGCCACCGACGGGAAUGUCGACAUCGCUAGUGGUGAUGUGACCUUGCGCAGAACCAUGGAGGUGGAGGACUAAAGGAUAAGAUUUGAGUGAUGGGGGAGGGGAUCUCGGGCUAGGUUCUGACCAGCGGGAGAGAAGGCAGAGAAGAUCUGGAAUGGUUUUCACAGUGAUGGGCCCUACUUGGCAGUGUCUCGUGAGAGAGUGAGGAAGCAGGGGAAAAAGGUCCAGAGAAAAGUCCAAAGACGGUCAACACACAGUCAAACGACACUAACUAGACGGAAACGUGACGGAAG